GGGGAAUAUUGGACAAUGGGCGAAGCCCUGAUCAAGCCAUGCGGCGUGUGUGAAGAAGGUCUUCGGAUGGUAAAGCACUUUAGGUGGGGGGGAAGGGCGGCAGGUUAUUACCUUGUAGUUUUGAGGUUACAAACAGAUUAAGACCGGGCUACCUUCGUGCCAGCAGCCGCGGUAAUACGAAGGGUGCAAGCGUUAAUCGGAAUUACUGGGCGUAAAGCGCGCGUAGGUGGUUUGGUAAGAUGGAUGUGAAAUCCCCGGGCUCAACCUGGGAACUGCAUCCAUAACUGCCUGACUAGAGUACGGUAGAGGGUGGUGGAAUUUCCUGUGUAGCGGUGAAAUGCGUAGAUAUAGGAAGGAACACCAGUGGCGAAGGCGACCACCUGGACUGAUACUGACACUGAGGUGCGAAAGCGUGGGGAGCAAACA
rnacentral:rRNA from 1 species